CUAGCUGUAAACGAUGUGAACUUGGCGUUGGUGGGUUUAAAUCCAUCAGUGCCGAAGCUAACGCGAUAAGUUCACCGCCUGGGGACUACGGCCGCAAGGUUAAAACUCAAAGGAAUUGACGGGGCCCCGCACAAGCAGCGGAGCGUGUGGUUUAAUUCGAUGCUACACGAAGAACCUUACCAGGGUUUGACAUGCAAGUGGUAGAGAAGCGAAAGCGGAUCGCCCCCUCGGGGAGCUUGCACAGGUGC
rnacentral:rRNA from 1 species